GCUCUGGUGGUGCAGCAGGUUAGCACCUGAUACUUGUAAAACAGCACUGGGGAACUGAUGCCAAGGUUGUGAGUUCAAGUCUCACUUAGAGCA
rnacentral:tRNA from 1 species